GGGCCGGUAGCUCAGCCUGGUAUGAGCGCCGCCUUGGCAAGGCGGAGGCCGCGGGUUCAAAUCCCGCCCGGUCCACCA
rnacentral:tRNA from 1 species